GGUGAAGGUGGCGGACGGGUGAGUAACGCGUAAAGAACUUGCCUUACAGACUGGGACAACAUUUGGAAACGAAUGCUAAUACCGGAUAUUAUGAUUGGGUCGCAUGAUCUGAUUAUGAAAGCUAUAUGCGCUGUGAGAGAGCUUUGCGUCCCAUUAGUUAGUUGGUGAGGUAACGGCUCACCAAGACGAUGAUGGGUAGCCGGCCUGAGAGGGUGAACGGCCACAAGGGGACUGAGACACGGCCCUUACUCCUACGGGAGGCAGCAGUGGGGAAUAUUGGACAAUGGACCAAAAGUCUGAUCCAGCAAUUCUGUGUGCACGAAGAAGUUUUUCGGAAUGUAAAGUGCUUUCAGUUGGGAAGAAGUCAGUGACGGUACCAACAGAAGAAGCGACGGCUAAAUACGUGCCAGCAGCCGCGGUAAUACGUAUGUCGCAAGCGUUAUCCGGAUUUAUUGGGCGUAAAGCGCGUCUAGGCGGCUUAGUAAGUCUGAUGUGAAAAUGCGGGGCUCAACCCCGUAUUGCGUUGGAAACUGCUAAACUAGAGUACUGGAGAGGUAGGCGGAACUACAAGUGUAGAGGUGAAAUUCGUAGAUAUUUGUAGGAAUGCCGAUGGGGAAGCCAGCCUACUGGACAGAUACUGA
rnacentral:rRNA from 1 species